rnacentral:lncRNA from 1 species
UUGUCCCAAUCACAAAACAAAAUCACAAGAAUCUCAAUCACCAUAGGACUCAGAAUCAUCAAUCACAGUAGCAACAAUUGGAACAAUAUAGACAGCACAAGACAAAAUACAUGGGUGAAAGAGGACUUGCUGGCAAUGGAUCUGAGCUCGUACGUUGAUGGAGGCGGCGGAUCUGGCGUCAAGAAGGUUACGGGGGGAGGCGACCGGAGGCAGCGGUCGGAGCCUGGGGGUUCCAGAUCCAGUGGUCCCGAACCACCUGGAGACCAGAUAUGGCACCCACCACCUCGAGGCGACCACCGGCGACCACCACCGAUCGUCAGGGACGAAGAAGAUCCGUCGGAGAUCUCCCGCAUCCGGCAGGGGCAGGAGGGAGGCGCGGUGGCAUGGGGGCGGCCGACGACGGGAGGGAAGGCGUCGGUGGCGUUAGUGGCCGGGAGGCGGCGGGAGGCGCCGGCGGAGGUGGAGGUGUAG